AGUGAACGCUGGCGGCGUGCUUAACACAUGCAAGUCGAACGAGAACGGAUUAUAGCUUGCUAUAAUUGUCAGCUAAGUGGCGCACGGGUGAGUAAUGUAUAGGUAAUAUGCCUCUUACUAAGGGAUAACAAAUGGAAACGUUUGCUAAUACCUUAUACUCCUUAUUAACAGAAGUUAAUAAGGGAAAGAUUUAUUGGUAAGAGAUUAGCCUGUAUUGUAUCAGUUAGUUGGUGGGGUAAUGGCUUACCAAGACUAUGACACAUAACUGGUUUGAGGGAAGGAUCAGGCACACUUGAACUGAGACACGGUCCAGACUCAUACGGGGGGCAACAGUGGGGAAUAUUGCACAAUGGACGAAAGUCUGAUGCAGCAACGCCGCGUGGAGGAUGACACAUUUCGGUGCGUAAACUCCUUUUAUAUGAGAAGAUAAUGACGGUAUUAUAGGAAUAAGCACCGGCUAACUCCGUGCCAGCCGCCGCCGUAA
rnacentral:rRNA from 1 species